UGCUGUUGAUGAUGUUACGAUUGCAAUGGGAAUCUCUCUGAAAAAGACUGAAAGAGACUUUGUAAUUACUGAACCAGUA